GAUUAACGCUGGCGGCAUGCCUAAUACAUGCAAGUCGAAUGGACUAGCUUGCUAGUCCAUGGCGAACGGGUGGGUAACACGUAGGUAACCUACCUUAAGGACGAGGAUAACCUUUGGAAACGAAGGAUAAUACUGGAUAGGACAUUAUAAAUCACAUGAUUAAAUGUUUAAAGGAGCGAUCCACCAUAAGAGGGGCCUGCGGCGCAUUAGCUAGUUGGUGAGGUAAGGGCCCACCAAGGCGAUGAUGCGUAGCUGGACUGAGAGGUUGAACAGCCACAAUGGGACUGAGAACGGCCCAUACUCC
rnacentral:rRNA from 1 species